UUCUCACUUUUGGACACUGAACUCGGCCUCUGCUGGCUGGACAGCAAGAUCCUUGGACACGAGCAGGAGCCCCCAUUCUCUCUUGGACCCUAGCUGAGCGGCAAAGCCCUCGUCCACGCACCGGCCAGCCCAGGGCAAAGUCUGUGGUCCCCUCGCCCGGCACCAUUCUGGGAGGCUCCGGGGCGGGGGUGAGUGAUUCAGUCCUCAGCCCCGGGUGCCGGGACACCUUGGUGGCCGUGGGGUGAUGGCUCCACACCUUGAGAGGCCGCGCCUCCACCUGCCGCAUUUCCUCUUUCUGAGUCACCCACUUGCUCAGAACGCUUGACUUUGGGACUUCCUGUCCGCACUCCCGGCCGCGAACCUGCCCCCCGAGCCUGGGAGUGCGGGAUGGGAAGGGGGAAAAGGUGCGUGGGCAGACCGGCCCGAAACUCCCCUCGCGCUCUCGCUCCGGACUGGAGGGAAAAGGGGGCGUGGAGAAAAUCUCAGGGAGCGGGGACUUCCGCAGCGUGCUCCCCGCCAGCCGAACAGCCCCCUCCCCAAAAUGAGGGGCCUCCACUGAAAUGCCUUCUUCGCAAAAGCGAAGCAAACAGCCUGGAGCCUUUCCCGCCCUGGGUGACUGACUGGAUGCUGAGAAGGAAAGUUCUGCAGUGAGUCUUAUAAAGCGGCACUGAACGACGCAUGUCCUCCGGUGAGGAUUAAACAAUAAAUAAAUACAAGUCGGAGCUGGAUUCUAGCCCGCAGUCCGGAUCCAGCACACACCCUCCCGGGUCCCUCUCUUGUCCGCUGCCUCUCCAGGCACCGAGUCGCCCAGAACCCAGAGAACCACCCCCCAGCCGGGAACGACACGCUGCUCCCUGGCACCAGAGUCUUCAAGCCUGUCUAAUGUCAAGCUCCCAGGGACACGGCCCUCCCUUGAACCGAGCCCCCACACUCCAAGCCCCCUGGACUCUUCCGUGUCUUCUGGAGCCUCUGAACCGCCUGUCUCCCCAACGAGAUUGUGAGCCCUCCAAGGCAAGGAACGGAUGAAACACCCCUUUGCAUUCCUGGCACCAGCUCCAGCUGUGCCGCGUGCGCGCACACAGGAGCCAUUCGACAGAGGCUCACGUUUGAUGCCGAGGCUCCAAACCAGGGCCCUCCAUGUAUUUCCAUUCGCAUUCCUUAAAGGGCUCCUCCUGGCCAAGCCACGUUCCCCCGUUGCAAACUGCCCGCAGCCCUGAAGGCAAAAGCUGAUAAACACUGUCCCCAUCGCUGCAGGUGAAGACGUGAGGCUCAGAGAGGAGAGGCGCCUUGCCUGAAGUUACACAGCUAGUACACGGCAGAGGGAGGACUGAAAGGGAAGUGUGUCUCCCCCCCACGGCCCGUCUGCCUGCUCUUUCUGGAACGCUCCAUGUUUUUAUACCUGCAGCCCUGUGUCCAAGCUGCAUCCUCUCCCUGGAUGCCCUCUCCACCUCCGGGACUCCCACUCCUUCUUCAAGACCUAUCGUGGAGCCACAUAGGAGAAGGGGAACACUGGAGCCCCCAGUGCAGGCGACGGCCUGGUCUCUCCUGUAUGCAACACAGAUCUGGUGGGUGGAUCGAUGAACGGUGCAAUGGGGGCCCAGCAGACCACCAUCCCCCCACUUAUCCGACUGUGUAGCCUAGGACACGCGCCUCGUUUAUCUGGAAAAUGGGCGUGGCGACGCUCUCCACCGUCCAGGACUGCCGCUGGGGUUAAGCGAGGUCCUAUCUGUGAAGCCCUUAGCGCAGCGUCUGGCACACGAUUGGGGGUAACAGUGGCCCCCCAUCUUAGAGAGGUGUGAACACGGCACAGGCUACUACACGCCAAGCACCGAGCUCAGCCACACCCAGACGCCUGCUAUGAACUCCAGGACGACUAAGGGACUAGUGGGAGACUCCUGCUGCUGCAAGAGGUGGGCUGACCGGCGCCCGGGGCCCCCGUGGCCUCCCCUGUGUUCCAGGAUCUUUGACUGAGGCCCCAGGGUGCUCUGACCUGCCAGGUGCUUUUCCCGAAUUGCCUCAUUUCAUCCUCACCACAGGCCCUGGGAGCAGCCUGUUCCCCAUUUCACAGACAAAGAAACUGAGGCUUAGACAGGUGAAGGGACAGCUCAAUGCCACACGAGUUAAGUACAGAGCCAGGAACUGAACCCAAGCCGCCCAGUGCUACUCGGCUAAUGGCAUGACCUCCCCACCUCGUGUCCCCCUCAGUCCCCUCCCUGCUCUGCAGUCUGAUGGUCUAACCUGACAAGCAGAGUUCCCGGGGCAGAUGUGGCAAGGGGGAGGGGGCUGUGGGUGACCAGGGGCUGAGGGGACCCUUCUGGCAUCCCAGGGUCAUCACUUACUGUGAGACCCGGGGAAGGAGCUUCACCUCGUACCCAGGGCUUCUGUCUUCUCCCCAGGCUGGCCAGGUGGGGAUAAAAAUAAUGCCAUACCCACCUGGUUGGGGAGCGGGCCAGGAAGGUAUGAAAAACCAUUGGUGCAAUGCCCGGCACAUGGCAAAUCCUCAGCAAAUGUCAGCAGUGAUUGUUUUUAUCACUGACAGCAUAUUUGGGGGCCCGGGCUGGCACCGUACCUGCCAGGUGCCACCCUGCUUCCUGUGUCCCGACAGUCUGGCUGCUGGCCUGGUGGGGGCCCAAGAGGAAGAUGGGGGGAGGGGAGGGGAGUUGCUCUGUUUGUUUUCUGAGACCCUCCAGGUGUGACCUGGCCCCUGCCCCUCCCUGGUAGCACCCACAACGGCAUGCAAGGCCCCCGUCAUCAAAACCGGCCCAGGUCCCCUUCAGGCCACGCUUUCUGGAUAAACCCACCAGGACUCAUCCACCCCCCCGGGGAGGGGCAGGGAUCACACACUCCUGGAUCCUCUUUCCUCCGUGGCACCAGCCUCUGUCCUCACGGGCUGACACACAGCAGGGAGUGCCGAGAACACAGCCCCGCCCAGCGCCGCGCUUAUCUGCGUAUACACCCACACCCACCCACCCACACACACACACACCCCUUUCCUGCACGCACAUCUCAGGGGCUCUGUGGGGACCACCUCAGCACAGGAGGAGGGCUCCUACCCCGCCACCUCCGUUCCUCCUUCCUGUCCUGUGUCCCUCCGUGUGUCUAUCCGUCUCUACCAGCCAAUCAGUCAGCUCCAGUGGGGCCCAGGUCACUCCUUCCCAGGUCAGCUCCCCCUCCCCAUCCCCCCAUCCACAGUCUGUCUGUCUGUCUGUCUGCAGCUAGCUCAGUCCUACACCUCGUCUCUGCCACAGCCUCCCCAGCGAGACCCCGCCCCUCCCUCAGCCGGGUCUUGUCACUCCUCCACCGUCCCUACCCAUCCAGCCCCACCCCCUUAUCUGUCUCCCUCGGCCGUCAGCCUGUCUGUCCAUCUAUCCGCACUGCUUCCUUCCUCCCCCAUCUGCCGGGCCUCUCUCAGCCCUCUCUGGGUCCCAUCCAUCACUUUCAAGACAGCCGUGCCCAGCCGGGUUGUCACCUCCUGGCAGCUCCCAGCUGCCUGUCAGUCAGUCUGUCCACCAGCCCAUCCAUCCAUCCGUCUGCCAUCCCAUCCAUCAUGCCGCAGCCGCUUGUCCGUACUUGCCACCGCUCCCCGAUUCUCUGACUGGGCCCCCUGCGGCGCCCCUCAGCCAGCCCCGGCUAGGGGUGUGUGCGUACGAACACACCUGUUCACAUCGGUAGGUCUCUCCGUGACCUCUGACACGCAUGUGUUCAGUCCUGGGCCCAGCUCGAGGGGCCGGGGACUUGGACGCAGCCCCGCCUCGAGG